rnacentral:misc_RNA from 1 species
UAGGGAGACCUAAUCCAUUUAGAAAUCGAAAACAAUGAAAAUUGUCAAUAGAAACUAAAUUGGUCUAACCUAGGUCGUUCGAGAUUGGUAGACAUCUUUCAAAGUAUUAUUCGGCUUCGUUCAAAACCAUAUAUAAUAAAUGGAAAAAGACAGCACCUAAUUGUCAAAGUUAGACUGCUGGAUGAAGUUCCAGCCAGAACCUUGAAAACUGCAUAAGAGAACAAGAAAAAGCAGGCAGACACAGACAUUUAGAUGGAUGUGGAAGCAUAAGAAAUUGU